rnacentral:rRNA from 1 species
AACGAACGCUGGCGGCAUGCCUAACACAUGCAAGUCGAACGAGACCUUCCGGUCUAGUUGCGCACGUGUGCGUAACGCGUGGGAACCUGCCCUUAGGUUCGCAAUAACUCCCCGAAAGGGGUCCUCAUACCGGAUAAUCUCUUCCCACCUAAGAUUUAUCGCCUUUGGAUGGGCGCGCGUUGGAUUCGCUGGUUGGUAGGGUAAAAGCAUGCCAAGGCGACGUUGCUUAGCUGGUCUGUGAGGAUGAAAAUCCACACUGGGAAUGAGACACGGACUAGACUGCUACGGAGGGGAGCAGAAGAGUAUAUUAGGGGAGGAGCGAAAGUGUGGUAAAGCAAUGCCGGGUAAGUGAUGAAGGGCUUAGGGAUGUAAAGUUGUUUUAGCCGGGAUGAUAAUGACAGUACCGGGAGAAUAAGCACCGGCUAACUACGUG